AAUAGUAUGUUGGUAUUAUAUAAAUAUAAUCAAUUAACUUUGUAACACCAUUGUGACACUGAAUAUUAUUGAUAAAAUAGGUUUUUGUUGUACUGGAACAAAUUUUUACAUUGAUAAUUUCAGGUGCUUAUAAUUGAGAAACAAAGAACAACUGUGAAAAGGCUGUUUUCCUGAAGCAAUGAAGUACAAUGAUGAGCUAGCGAGACUAAAUCACCAGUAUCAAUAAAGUAAGUUACCUAAAAUUAUUGUUUAUUUACUUAUUCACUUAUUAAGAUCUUCUUGCAAUAUAUUUGUAGACUUAAAUCGAUAUUUGAAAUUCACAAAAACUAUUAGUGUAACAAUGUUCAAUUCUUUCCAAGACGCAGUUAACCCAGUAAAAAAGAAGCGUACGAUCCUAGUUUAAGAUGGCAACCUCAGUUAAGAACAUAAAAACGUGUUGACGUAGACUCAUUAUACCUUAAAAAGAUAAAAGCAGACAAGAUAUGUCGGAGCUUAUUAGCAACUCUCGUCAUGAAGAGGAUCAGAUUCUUCUCGACGACAGCAAGUGUACUAACACGGACCUAUUAAGUGUUUAUUGCUGUAAACGAUCCUUAUGUUUCAUACAGACACCGCAAGAAGGAGCUGUUCCUUCGUCCAUACAAGGUGCUUAUAAUUUAGUAACAAAGAACAACUGCGAAAAGGCUGCCUUCCUGAAGCAAUGAAGUAAAUGAUGAUGUAGCGAAACUAUAUCACCAGUAUCAAUAAAGUGUUGACGUAGACUCAUUAUAUUUUAAAAAGAUAAAAGCGGACGAGAUAUGUCGGAGCUUAUUAGCAACUCUCGUCAUGAACCGGAUCAGAUUCUUCUCGACGACAGCAAGUGUACUAACACGGACCUUAGGUCCGUCGGACCUAUUAAGUGUAACUUGAUGGUGUAUUGUUAAAGUUGGACCUAAUGUAUCUUGCAGACACAGCCCAAAACGCGGUUCCUUCGUCCACACAAGGGCGCUUAUAGUUGAGCAACAAUCAGAACAUCAACUACUGUGAAAAGACUGCAUUCCAAAAUGCAAUAAGCUAAUGAGGCACUUCAUGAUGAGAUAGCGAAACUAAAGGACAUUUAAAGUUAUAUGUCUGAGCAGCGAUAGACCGGACAAUUUCGAGACAAUUUUUAGGCCUUCAAACUACAAAAUGUUUUGAAGCAACAUUUUAGAUUAAAUAUAAAAUUAAGGAACAUUGAAUUAGUGAUAAUUUCAUUAGGAUAUAUUUUGUAUUUGAAUUUGUUGAAACUUAAUUAAACUAAUUACAACACUACAAUUCUAUUACAUUUAUUGAGAAUUAUGUAAUGUAACGUGAUGGGAAUAUUUUAAGCGGGCAUGUCCUGUCCAAACCCAGGAUGCACAAAACGAAGAAUUUGUUUUAACUUUGUAUGAAAAGCAUCAAUAAAAAAUAUAUAUCUUUAAACUAAAUUAAUUUUAUGUUUUUGGGUUUGCAAUUUCGUUCAAUACGUAAAUCUGUGAAUAAUUUAUUUUUAUUUCAUUUUAUUUUUGAGGACAUACAACAUGUUCUACACUUUAUAAGUCUAGAGAUGUAAUGUCAGACCCCUUACUGAAAGGAUCAAGAAAGCAAGAUAGAAGAUGCUUGGGCACGUUCUCAGAAGUGGUGAUGACACUCCCGCCUUCUUAUCUUUCAGAUUUGCAUGUUUAGGAUGUUUUGACUACAAAGGAAGGAGGGGCAGACCUCGUUUAAAUUUAUUUGAUUUAUUAUUAAAAGACAUUAUGACAAAGAAAAUUAUUGUGAUUGUGAAUAAAAG